UGGGGGAUAUUGCACAAUGGGCGAAAGCCUGAUGCAGCGACGCCGCGUGGGGGAUGAAGGCCUUCGGGUUGUAAACUUCUUUUGCUCUGAACAAGGCAUGCUAAUGGGUGUGUUGAGUGUAGGGGUUGAUUAGCGCCGGCUAACUACGUGCCAGCAGCCGCGGUAAUACGUAGGGCGCGAGCGUUGUCCGGAAUUAUUGGGCGUAAAGGGCUUGUAGGUGGCUGGUUGCGUCUGUCGUGAAAGCUCAUGGCUUAACUGUGGGUUUGCGGUGGGUACGGGCUGGCUUGAGUGCAGUAGGGGUGGCUGGAAUUCCUGGUGUAGCGGUGGAAUGCGCAGAUAUCAGGAGGAAUACCGGUGGCGAAGGCGGGUCUCUGGGCUGUUACUGACACUGAGGAGCGAAAGCAUGGGGAGCGAACAGG
rnacentral:rRNA from 1 species